AUUAGGGUUCGAUUCCGGAGAGGGAGCCUGAGAAACGGCUACCACAUCUAAGGAAGGCAGCAGGCGCGCAAAUUACCCAAUCCUAAUACAGGGAGGUAGUGACAAGAAAUAACAAUACAGGACUUUUUGGUUUUGUAAUUGGAAUGAGUUAAGUAUAAACCCCUUUACAAGUAUCAAUUGGAGGGCAAGUCUGAUGCCACCAACCGCGGUAAUUCCAGCUCCAAUAGCGUAUGGGUGGACAAUCAAAACCGUGACGGAACCAAUUUCUGUGACAUAUGAAUCUGGUUUCCAAUCCUAAUACAGGGAGGUAGUGACAAGAAAUAACAAUACAGGACUUUUUGGUU
rnacentral:rRNA from 1 species